UACGAGGGGGGCAAAUGUUGUUCGGAAUCACUGGGCGUAAAGGGCGCGUAGGCGGCCCCGAUAGUCAGGCGUGAAAUUCCUGGGCUCAACCUGGGGACUGCGCUUGAUACGUCGGGGCUGGAGUGCGGGAGAGGGUCGCGGAAUUCCCAGUGUAGAGGUGAAAUUCGUAGAUAUUGGGAAGAACACCGGUGGCGAAGGCGGCGACCUGGCCCGUUACUGACGCUGAGGCGCGACAGCGUGGGGAGCAAACAGG
rnacentral:rRNA from 1 species